AGGAGGUUGGCUCAGCUGGUCAGAGCAGGGUGCUGAUAACACUAGGAUUGUGGGUUUAAUCCCCAUAUGGGCAA